CCGAUAUUAUUGGGCCUAAAGCGUCCGUAGCUUGCUGUGUAAGUCCAUUGGGAAAUCCACGCGCUCAACGCGUGGGCGUCCGGUGGAAACUGCACGGCUUGGGGCCGAGAGACUCGACGGGUACGUCCGGGGUAGGAGUGAAAUCCUGUAAUCCUGGACGGACCACCAAUGGCGAAAGCACGUCGAGAGACCGGACCCGACAGUGAGGGACGAAAGCCAGGGUCUCGAACCGGAUUAGAUACCCGGGUAGUCCUGGCUGUAAACGAUGCUCGCUAGGUAUGUCACGCGCCAUGAGCACGUGAUGUGCCGUAGUGAAGACGAUAAGCGAGCCGCCUGGGAAGUACGUCCGCAAGGAUGAAACUUAAAGGAAUUGGCGGGGGAGCACCACAACCGGAGGAGCCUGCGGUUUAAUUGGACUCAACGCCGGACAUCUCACCGGUCCCGACAACAGUCACGACGGUCAGUUUGACGAACUUACCCGAGCUGUUGAGAGGAGGUGCAUGGCCGCCGUCAGCUCGUACCGUGAGGCGUCCUGUUAAGUCAGGCAACGAGCGAGACCCACACUUCUAGUUGCCAGCGAUACCCUCGAGGUAGUCGGGUACACUAGGAGGACUGCCAUUGCUAAAAUGGAGGAAGGAAUGGGCAACGGUAGGUCAGUAUGCCCCGAAUGGACCGGGCAACACGCGGGCUACAAUGGCUGUGACAGAGGGAUGCUACGCCGAGAGGCGACGCUAAUCUCUAAACGCAGUCGUAGUUCGGAUUGCGGGCUGAAACUCGCCCGCAUGAAGCUGGAUUCGGUAGUAAUCG
rnacentral:rRNA from 1 species